rnacentral:rRNA from 1 species
GAGUUUGAUCAUGGCUCAGGAUGAACGCUAGCGGCAGGCUUAACACAUGCAAGUCGAGGGGUAGUUACUUUCGGGUAAUGAGACCGGCGCACGGGUGCGUAACGCGUAUGCAAUCUACCUUUUACAGGGGAAUAGCCCAGAGAAAUUUGGAUUAAUGCCCCAUAGUAUGUAUGAAUCGCAUGGUUUAUACAUUAAAGUUCCAACGGUAAAAGAUGAGCAUGCGUCCCAUUAGUUAGUUGGUAAGGUAACGGCUUACCAAAACGAUGAUGGGUAGGGGUCCUGAGAGGGAGAUCCCCCACACUGGUACUGAGACACGGACCAGACUCCUACGGGAGGCAGCAGUGAGGAAUAUUGGACAAUGGGCGCAAGCCUGAUCCAGCCAUGCCGCGUGCAGGAAGAAGCAUCUAUGGUGUGUAAACUGCUUUUGUACGGGAAGAAACACUCCUUCGUGAAGGAGCUUGACGGUACCGUAAGAAUAAGGAUCGGUUAACUCCGUGCCAGCAGCCGCGGUAAU